rnacentral:miRNA from 1 species
UAUUAGGUUGGCCAAAAAGUUCAUUCAGGUUUUUCCACAGCAACUAAUGGAAAAACCCAAAUGAACUUUUUGGCCAACUCAAU